CCGCCUGGCAGGGAGAAUAAUCGGACAUCCUUUCCUAAAUCGGGGUCCACUUUUGACUGGGAUGGGCCAGUGCCUUUUCCCUCUGCUGGCCAGCAAGGACAUGGGGGCCAUAGAUGCUGCAGUUAGAAGUUUGCCCAGAUUUGGACAUUGUGGAGAUUGUCAGCCUUGCAAGUCUAACAAUUGAAUUUGUUCUGCCUCUUUUCAUCUGCCUAUGUGUUUGGUAAUUGUUGACCGGUGUUGUAUACAAUUAGAACUGCUUUCUAACAGCUUGAAAGCCAGACUGUCCUGACCUCCGAAAAUGUAGACCAGGUGAACAACUUGGCCCUCAGCUGGGACCUUCCCACUCUUACAGAGAACAAAAGGAGGUUGUUGUCACAACAAAUCCUCCAUCAUGGGGUAAUUGUCAGACGAGAGAGGCAAAUGGUGCAGUGCGGCUAAAGGACACUCGCAUCCUGAAAGUGUUAAAAGAGCGGCCUGAACUGGCAUCUGUCCUGUUCCUCAGAUCUGCAGAGGCAGAGCUGGACCCAGAGUACCCUGGCACAUGCUUUGUCCAAUGGACCAUGGAAGGGACUUUACUUGGCUGACGAGCAAUAUGAUUUCAGUGAGGGGGACAUGCUCUCUAUCAGGAGGUGGUGGUUGGACUGCUGUUGGAGACCUUUAUGCUUGAAAGCCCUGCAGAACUAGCUGGCUCCUUCUCACCCUCUCCAUCUCCCCAUCUCAGUCACACCUUCCAAUCACUAAGCAGUGAAAGCCCUGCAGGACUAGCUGGCACACCAAGCUCACCCUCUCCAUCUCCCCAUCUCAGCCACACGCUCCAAUCUGGCACAACAGAGGACAGGCCAUUCUUACCACCCGAAGUCCUUCAGCAAAUUGUACAAGAGACGCUGAGACUGGACAUGGCGAUGCUUGGCGUGUUCAACAGGGUUUCAAACACAUUCCGAGAACUAAUCAAGCCUCUCCAUCCUUCAAUAUAUAAAUGACAGUUUGGCAGGGGACAUUAAGCUUAAUAAAGACAAUCUCAUAUACAUAACGGUUAGAAAGAUUUACAACAAUGCAGGCUGUGGCAGUGGCCUUGCGCUACGCCUCAAAGGCUUCUUAAAAAAGAAGAAUUGGCCAAGCGCACCCUGGUACUGAGGCACGUUGCAUAUGGCAGGUUUGUCAUAAAAGAUGUCUGCAUAGCAUAAUGUUCUUUUAUUACUCCUUUUUCGUUUUAUUUGGGACGUCAUUUUUGCAAUCCCUUUCAUUUGUAAAUGUACAUACUACUGUAGUAAAUGUAUCUGCCCAGAAAUGCUGGUAUUUUAUUACUCCUUUCUUUUUUGUUUUUGUGACAAAUGCUAUACGAUGUAUAACAUAC
ensembl:lncRNA